rnacentral:rRNA from 1 species
AACUCUUAGCGGUGGAUCACUCGGCUCGUGCGUCGAUGAAGAACGCAGCUAGCUGCGAGAAUUAAUGUGAAUUGCAGGACACAUUGAUCAUCGACACUUCGAACGCAUAACAGGUCUGUGAUGCCCUUAGAUGUCCGGGGCU